UCAAGUCAUCAUGGCCCUUACGACCAGGGCUACACACGUGCUACAAUGGCGCAUACAAAGAGAAGCGACCUCGCGAGAGCAAGCGGACCUCAUAAAGUGCGUCGUAGUCCGGAUUGGAGUCUGCAACUCGACUCCAUGAAGUCGGAAUCGCUAGUAAUCGUGGAUCAGAAUGCCACGGUGAAUACGUUCCCGGGCCUUGUACACACCGCCCGUCACACCAUGGGAGUGGGUUGCAAAAGAAGUAGGUAGCUUAACCUUCGGGAGGGCGCUUACCACUUUGUGAUUCAUGACUGGGGUGAAGUCGUAACAAGGUAACCGUAGGG
rnacentral:rRNA from 1 species